rnacentral:rRNA from 1 species
UAGGGAAUCUUGCACAAUAGACGAAAGUCUGAUGCAGCAACGCCGCGUGGAGGAAGAAUGCCUUCGGGUUGUAAACUCCUUUUCGGGGGGAUGAGGAAGGACAGUACCCCCGGAAUAAGUCUCGGCUAACUACGUGCCAGCAGCCGCGGUAAAACGUAGGAGGCAAGCGUUAUCCGGAUUUACUGGGCGUAAAGCGCGUGCAGGCGGCGUGCAAAGUCGGACGUGAAAUCUCCCGGCUCAACUGGGAGAGGCCGUUCGAAACUAGUAUGCUUGAGGGCGGUAGAGGGAAGUGGAAUUCCAGGUGUAGCGGUGAAAUGCGUAGAUAUCUGGAGGAACACCAGUGGCGAAAGCGGCUUCCUGGACCGAUCCUGACGCUAAGACGCGAAAGCUAGGGGAGCGAACG